CUAAGAAUAUUCCGCAAUGGACGGAAGUCUGACGGAGCGACGCCGCGUGGAUGACGAAGGCCGAAAGGUUGUAAAGUUCUUUUGCUGGGGAAGAAUAACCGCAGGAGGGAAUGCCUGUGGGAUGACAAGAACCGGCGAAUAAGCCCCGGCCAACUACGUGCCAGCAGCCGCGGUAACACGUAGGGGGGCGAGCGUUGUUCGGAAUUACUGGGCGUAAAGGGCAUGUAGGCGGCUUGGAAAGCCUGGCGUGAAAGUCUGCAGCUUAACUGCAGGGGUGCGCUGGGAACUGCUGAGCUUGAGUGACGGAGAGGGAGCUGGAAUUCCUGGUGUAGGGGUGAAAUCUGUAGAUAUCAGGAAGAACACCGAUGGCGAAGGCAAGCUCCUGGCCGAUGACUGACGCUGAGGUGCGAAAGUGUGGGGAUCAAACAGGAUUAGAUACCCUGGUAGUCCACACAGUCAACGAUGUGCACUAGGUGCUGGGGCGGUAGCUUCGGUGCCGGAGCGAACGUGGUGAAGUGCACCGCCU
rnacentral:rRNA from 1 species